UACCAAAGCUACACGCGUCACGUAAAUUUCCACUCUAUCUCGAAUGCAUUAUCGUAAGCAGCAAGUUGUGCGUGUGUUUGCACGGAAGACCUCGGCCAGCUGAUACGGCCUCAGUGCUCAGGGAAUAGUACCGGUGUCUGAUUGUCAGCAAAGAGGAAGGCACGAGGCGAGUCACCGAAAAGUUUCCACGAGCCUCUUCCCUUCUCCCCUGGAUAUUCUUUCGAGUCGUCGCGGUUGCAACGGUUAGAGUAACCUAGUGUUAGCAACGGACUAAGUGUGGUAAGAUUGUUCCUGACGCAACGCUCUUCUGCGUAUAUUUUAUACUUUCUACGCAGAUGUAAGGCGGUACCACGGUAAAUAGGCGUAACGAAUUCUCAGCCUUUAUAAACUUUUUCACGAGGCUCCAAGUAUAAACAAACUUUUCUUGCCAUCCUGUCUUCCGCAUUCGAACAACUUCCGAUAAAUUUUCAUUGAUGGGAAUAAUCGUAGAGACGAAGGAAAAUUCGAAGCGUAUCAACGACGGCCAUCUUGAUUUUGUGCAUCAGCGUUUCGUGGCAUACGAAAUCAUUCUUAAGUAAUAUUAUUUUUCUUAUAUUCAAAAGUUUGACUGAUGAUUCAGCGGACUUGCGCUAUUUCAGGUAAAACGUACGUGAUUUGACAAAAUUUUCGAUUUUUAUACCGUUAACCCUCAAUUAUUCCCCGGCGCAUGUAAGUAUCCUUUAUGUUUAUGUUAAAGGGCGUAACUUGGAUGGUACGAACUUCGGUUGAAAGGAAAAAAAAGGAACUGAGAAAAAACAUUUUUGAGAAUUACGAUCGAUAGAAGGGUUCAUCCUAAUUUCGUACAUAAAUUACACCGAUUAAGUAAUGGAAAUUUCCUUGGUUGUCGUUGUCCACCAACGCGUGCCAUUCGACAGAUUCAACGACUUGAUUGGUGUGGGUUUCUACAGCGUUGACGCUAGGUAUAUACCAAUGACUAAUCGCAAGUACGUACAUUCGCAAUGGGAUUCAUAAGAGAUACACUCACCUUUCUUUGACUUGGCACCGAUCUUCAGUCGCGAAGGCCAUGUGAUGAACGUAUUCGUUUCUUCCAUAACCUGGAAAAAGAAGACGAUAAAAUUCCAACGUUAUCAAUCGUACGAAGAUACGUGAAAAACGGGAAGAUACGCUGAUUCAUAUACUACGAAUUGUUAUAACGAUCAUUACCACGGUCAUGGUCGGUAAUCGAUGAAAUCUUUGCCAAAUUUUCCCCUUCGAUGCGAAGUUCGAAUGAUUAAUCCCGUUGGGAUCCGGCGUAAGUGUUACAGUAAAUUUGUACGGUAGUUGAAAUUAUACAACGAUAAAUUUAUCCUCUCGAUAUUACGAAUGAGGUAAGAAUCCAGCGUUUCAACCGACAAGUUUUUCAACUCGGCUAUUCUUUUCCUGAUGAAAAAUUGGCCAACACUAAUUAUCGUGAGCGUCAAAAGCCGCUGAUGUCACUUUAGAAAGCACAACGACGUGAUGUUAAUUAUUUUUUGCAAUCAAAGCGUACAGAGCUAACUCUGACACAAUUUGUGUUUCUCGCGAACAAGUCGCGCAAGAAUAAUAAAAAAAUUUCAAUUACACGGGUCUAAAAAUGAAGCACACUUUUUCCAACACCU